GGCCAAAACUAUAGGUACUUGAAUCAUUAAUGGGCAUUUGCACCUCAGCCGAACCGCUACAUAAUCUUACGACGGACCACCGUGAAGGGAUAAUCGGAGCCCAGAUAUUUUUGCUUCCACGUUUAUUCUUCUCGCCGCCGGCCGGUAUGAUGGAUGACGUCGUCGGAAACAACCGUAUUCGUAAUCUACAAGACGGCUUUCACCACCGUGACCUGCGGACGAAGAUCAUCCAAUUUCUCACCGGCGUUGGCAAGUUCGCCGUGGACUCUACCUUCUUCAGCUCUCUCAAGGCCGUCUCCGGUAAGAAUCAAGCACAUAAGGUUGGGGGAGGAGGAUUAAAGGAUACGCCCCAUUCAUCCUCUUUAAAUGAAAAGAAACCGGAAGAGCUUAAACUAGUGCUGGAUAAGAUGCAGGCAGAGAUGGAGAAAACAGAGGCAGACAAGAACAAAAUGAAGCAACACCAUUGUACAUCUGCAGAGAUUGUUGAUGACUCUGAACCACUAAAGAAGUUGCCAGGGGAAGGUGUCAAAGGAUCAGCCAACGAGAUUCAAAACAAGAAAAGAAUCUUCAUCCGUUCCAGACUGUAGACAAUGGAGUUCAUUAUUGUAGUAGCAUAGCAAGAAUAAUGGAUUCCUUUCUUGACAAGGGCUUACAAGGAAACAUCUUGCCACCUAUUUUGGGAAUGUAAGGUUUCUAAGAAGAUUUGGAAUGUUUUAGUUCCCUCUAAUGUUCGUCUGUUUUUUAUGGGCAGGACAUCUGGAAUGUUUGUGAUUACUGGGAAUGCAUAAAGGAGAUUAAUCCUAAAGAGCGGAUGGGAAAAAUCCUCACGUUUUUAUGGUGCAUCUAGAACCAAAGGAAUGUUAUUUGCUUCAACCACGUAUCGUCUGAAGAUAAAGACAUUAUCUCGGCUAUCGAAGCGUCUUUUGAAGCUUACUCGGGUAGGUCUCCCACUGUCUCCCUGUUUCUCUUCCCACUCUGAUCCCGAUCAAGGGAAUGACGGUUGGAAAGCCCCUAAGGAGGGUUGUUGAAAGUUGAAUGUUGAUGUGGUGUGGUCGGACUCUUUGCAUUGUGGUGGUUUAGGCUGGAUUGUGCGUGAUUACCUUGGAACUCUUAUUUUGGGUGGGUUCAAGCAUAUCAAUCAUAAUUGGGGGAUCAAGGUGUUUGAGGCAAAAGUAGUGGUGGAAGACUUGAUUGAGGUCUACAGGCUUUGGAAGGGUCAAAAUCCUCUGGUGGUGGUCUAAACAAAUUCUCUUGAGGUAAUUAAAUUAUUGAACUAUCUAGACUCUGAUUUUUCGGAAGUUGAUAUUUCUGUCAAAGAGGCCCUUAGCCUUGUAAAGUCUAUUAAUAUCUGUAAUUUUUGCAAGGUUCCUAGAGAGGAGAAUAAAGUUGCC